rnacentral:rRNA from 1 species
CCCUAGUAACGGCGAGUGAAGCGGCAACAGCUCAAAUUUGAAAUCUGGCCCUUUCAGGGUCCGAGUUGUAAUUUGUAGAGGGUGCUUUGGUGUUGGCUGCGGUCUAAGUUCCUUGGAACAGGACGUCACAGAGGGUGAGAAUCCCGUACGUGGUCGACAGUCUUCACCGUGUAAAGCCCCUUCGACGAGUCGAGUUGUUUGGGAAUGCAGCUCUAAAUGGGAGGUAAAUUUCUUCUAAAGCUAAAUAUUGGCCAGAGACCGAUAGCGCACAAGUAGAGUGAUCGAAAGAUGAAAAGCACUUUGGAAAGAGAGUCAAAAAGCACGUGAAAUUGUUGAAAGGGAAGCGCUUGCAAUCAGACUUGCCUGUAGUUGCUCAUCUAGGCUCUUGCCUGGUGCACUCUUCUGCGGGCAGGCCAGCAUCAGUUCAGGCGGCUGGAUAAAGGCCUCUAUCACGUAUCUUCCUUCGGGAUGACCUUAUAGGGGAGGUGUAAUGCAGCCAGCCUGGAUUGAGGUCCGCGCAUCUGCUAGGAUGCUGGCGUAAUGAUUGUAAGCGGCCCGUCUUGAAACACGGACCAAGGAGUCUAACAUCUAUGCGAGUGUUUGGGUGUCAAGCCCGGACGCGCAAUGAAAGUGAACGGAGGUGGGAACCCUUUGGGUGCACCAUCGACCGAUCCUGAUGUCUUCGGAUGGAUUUGAGUAAGAGCAUAGCUGUUGGGACCCGAAAGAUGGUGAACUAUGCCUGAAUAGGGUGAAGCCAGAGGAAACUCUGGUGGAGGCUCGCAGCGGUUCUGACGUGCAAAUCGAUCGUCAAAUUUGGGCAUAGGGGCGAAAGACUAAUCGAACUAUCUAGUAGCUGGUU